rnacentral:rRNA from 1 species
UCGCCUGCAUGAAGCCGGAAUCGCUAGUAAUCGGAGAUCAGCUACGCUCCGGUGAAUACGUUCCUGAGCCUUGUACACACCGCCCGUCACGUCAUGGGAGUUGGCAGUGCCCGAAGUCACCUCGUUUCAGGGGUGCCUACGGCAAGGCUGAUGACUGGGACGAAGUCGUAACAAGGUAGCCGUAGGAGAACCUGCGGCUGGAUCACCUCCUUUCUAAGG